CAGGGUUAGGGCUAGGGUCAACACCGUCCCCCAGCAGGUAAAGACAGGGUUAGGGCUAGGGUCAACACUGUCCCCCAGCAGGUAAAGACAGGGUUAGGGCUAGGGUCAACACCGUCCCCCAGCAGGUAAAGACAGGGUUAGGGUCAACACCGUCCCCCAGCAGUUAAAGACAGGGUUAGGGCUAGGGUCAACACCGUCCCCCAGCAGGUAAAGACAGGGUUAGGGCUAGGGUCAACACCGUCCCCCAGCAGUUAAAGACAGGGUUAGGGCUAGGGUCAACAUCGUCCCCCAACAGCUAAAGACAGG
rnacentral:lncRNA from 1 species